rnacentral:misc_RNA from 1 species
GAUCUUGAGCCAGGCAGGAACGACCCUUGGGUGUUGGUAGUGGUUAACUCGGGAGUUGGUUCAGUAAGAAUGAUGUUUCAGUGUUAAAUAUCAUACUGUAAAUUACAUAAAGUUGUGCAACUUUAAACACGUCAUAAUUUCAAAUCUACUGUUAAUCAGGUAUGAAAUAAGUGCCUAACGUCAAGAAUGGAACAAGGUAGCAACAGGACCUCAAGCAGGAUGGACUAUGACUCGGAUGAAAAUGAAGUCCUUGAAUCAGGAGUCGUGGACGUGGGAGAAAAGGGAGGGCUUUCCUCGUGUGGAUAUUGUGGGAAGCUUCGGAACUUGAAUGCCGUUGAGUUGAUGUGCUGGCAGUGUGGUUCUUGGUUCCAUGAAUCAUGUAUCAGUUAUCAGCUUGGCAAAUUGGUGCCCUUUAUGCUCAACUACUCCUUUACCUGCAAGACCUGCUCUUCAACUGGUGUUGAGACCUUUCGCAAAACUCAAGCACAACUUCGAGAUAUGUGCAUAACAGCUUUAGCCAACUUGCAGCAUGGAAAUAAAGAUAAUCGAGGAAACACAAUGUUCAGCCUGCAGCGAGAUGUUAUCCCUUUUUUAGAGCAAAACUGGGAGGCUCUGACCACUGCUGCUCGGCGCUCCACACAGUCAUGGCAUACAACUUUGCAGAGAAUGCUCAUGAAGGAGGUAGAUGCAUACUUUACUGUUGAGGAAACAGGCGAGAGUGGUGAGCCAACACAACACCACCCUUUCUUUGGCCUACUCACAUCAGAUCUUACGCUCAUCCGCCCAAUAGUGGAUGCACCUGGUGGGUGGCGGUCACCCCUCUCUGGCUCCUCUCAACAGCAGCAAUCAGGAAAGGGUCGAGGAGCAAAACGAAAGAUGCCGGAGACUACUGCUGGCAAUAAGAAGGCUCGAGGGGACAUGCCAGCACCAAAGCUUCAUGGUUAUCCAGUGGACCAUCCAUUUAAUAAAGAUGGUUAUAGAUACAUCCUUGCUGAGCCUGAUCCUCAUGCUCCUUUCAGACAAGAGUUUGAUGACAGCAAUGAUUGGGCAGGUAAACCAAUUCCUGGAUGGCUAUAUCGUGCCCUCAGUCCUGGGGCAGUAUUACUUGCUCUGCAUGACCGUGCACCACAACUUCGAACAGCUGAUGACCGUUUGGCCGUGACAGGAGACAAAGGUUAUUGUCUUAUCAGAGCCACUCAUGGUGUGAGUCGUGGAGUGUGGUAUUGGGAGUGCACCAUUGAUGAGCAACCAGAAGGUUCACACACUCGUAUUGGAUGGUGCCAGCAACUUGCAAACCUUCAGGCACCUCUUGGAUAUGAUAAAUUUGGCUAUUCAUGGAGGUCAAGGAAAGGUACAGUAUUUCAUGAAUCUCGAGGAAAGCAUUACUUCGAGGGCGGCUUUGGUGAGGGAGAUGUCCUUGGUAUAAUGAUUGACCUUCCUGAGAAGAACCCUGUGUCACAGUUUCCACCUACGUACAAGGAUAAGGAAUGGAAAAUGCUGUGGAGAAGCAUUCCAGAAUAUUUAUGGGGGCACAUAUUAUCCAGGAGUGUCUCUAUAUAGAAAUAUUACAUUAUCUGUGAAUUUUGGACCAGAUUUCAAGCACCCACCUGCCUCCUACGAGUACAGAGGGAUGCAUGAAAGGUGUGAAGAAUCCAUGGUGGAGCGGACACUAGCAGACAUGACUUACUUGGUAGAGAAUGAAGGGAAACUAAGAUUGGAUGUAUUCACUUGAGAAAAAUUAACCUGUAAUUUUAAACUAAAAUUACC